rnacentral:sRNA from 1 species
UUGAAUAUGCUUACCGUAGACAGUAGGUGCCGCAAGGCUUAAUUUCCUACCGAGGUGUUGUGAUAGAAAUAAGAAGUGCUAGGCGCUUGCCUGAGUAACUUUCCUUUUAUCAAGCCUUCGUGAAUCUGCGGAGGCUUUUCUAA